rnacentral:rRNA from 1 species
UCCGUAGGUGAACCUGCGGAAGGAUCAUUAACGAAUAUCUAUGGCGUUGGUUGUAGCUGGCUCCUAGGAGCAUUGUGCACGCCCGUCAUUCAUAUCAUCUUUCCACCUGUGAACCAUGUGUAGGCCUGGAUACCCCUCGCUUUGGCAACAAAGCGGAUGCAAGGAUUGCUGCGUCGACAAGGCCGGCUCUCUUUGAAUUUCCAGGUUCUAUGUCUUUUACACACCCCAUUCGAAUGAUUUAGAAUGUAGUCAAUGGGCUUUCAUGCCUAUAAAAAACUAUACAACUUUCAGCAACGGAUCUCUUGGCUCUCGCAUCGAUGAAGAACGCAGCGAAAUGCGAUAAGUAAUGUGAAUUGCAGAAUUCAGUGAAUCAUCGAAUCUUUGAACGCACCUUGCGCUCCUUGGUAUUCCGAGGAGCAUGCCUGUUUGAGUGUCAUUAAAUUCUCAACCUCACCAGUUUUGUAACGAGACAGGUGAAGGCUUGGAUGUGGGGGUUUUGCAGGCUGCCUCAGUGCUGGUCUGCUCCCCUGAAAUGCAUUAGCGAGCUCAUAUUGAGCUUCCGUCUAUUGGUGUGAUAAUUAUCUACGCCGUGGAUUGGACUCAUGCUUGCUUCUAACCGUCCGCGAGGACAAUUUACUUGACCAAUUUGACCUCAAAUCAGGUAGGACUACCCGCUGAACUUAAGCAUAUCAAUAAGCGGAGGA